ACAUCCAGCGAACUUGGCAGAGAUGCCUUGGUGCCUUCGGGAACGCUGAGACAGGUGCUGCAUGGCUGUCGUCAGCUCGUGUUGUGAAAUGUUGGGUUAAGUCCCGNAACGAGCGCAACCCUUAUCCCUUGUUGCCAGCGAUUCGGUCGGGAACUCAAAGGAGACUGCCGGUGAUAAACCGGAGGAAGGUGGGGAUGACGUCAAGUCAUCAUGGCCCUUACGAGUAGGGCUACACACGUGCUACAAUGGCGCAUACAAAGAGAAGCGACCUCGCGAGAGCAAGCGGACCUCAUAAAGUGCGUCGUAGUCCGGAUCGGAGUCUGCAACUCGACUCCGUGAAGUCGGAAUCGCUAGUAAUCGUGGAUCAGAAUGCCACGGUGAAUACGUUCCCGGGCCUUGUACACACCGCCCGUCACACCAUGGGAGUGGGUUGCAAAAGAAGUAGGUAGCUUAACCUUCGGGAGGGCGCUUACCACUUUGUGAUUCAUGACUGGGGUGAAGUCGUAACAAGGUAGGCGUAGCGAG
rnacentral:rRNA from 1 species